UUCCAUCCUUCUGAAGCUUUCAUCAUUUAGCAUCACUAUGAGAGGUAUUGUAUUGCUGUGUCUGCUGGAAGCAGUAUUUGCUGAUCAUUCGUAUGACUGGGACGGACCUGGCCAUGUAGCACCAGUUACGCCCCCCAACACAGAAUGUAGCAUGGACACG